rnacentral:rRNA from 1 species
GGGCAGACUCCGGUUGAUCCUGCCGGACUCCACUGCUAUCGGGGUAAGGCUAAGCCAUGCAAGUCGAAGGUCCCCGGCUCCGGGGGCCUGGCAUACGGCUGAGUAACGCGUGGCCAACCUGCCCUGCGGAGGGGGAUAACCCCGGGAAACUGGGGAUAAACCCCCAUAGGUGACCGGAUCUGGAAGGACCGGUCGCCGAAAGUCCCGGUCGGGGACGCUCCGGCCGGGAGCCGCAGGAUGGGGCUGCGUCCUAUCAGGUAGUUGGUGGGGUAACGGCCCACCAAGCCUGUGACGGGUAGGGGCCCUGAGAGGGGGAGCCCCCAGAUGGACUCUGAGACAAGAGUCCAGGCCCUACGGGGCGCAGCAGGCGCGAAAACUCCGCAAUGGGCGAAAGCCCGACGGGGUUACCCCGAGUGCCACCCUCGUGGUGGCUUUUGCCCGCUCUAAAAAGGCGGGCGAAUAAGGGGAGGGCAAGUCGGGUGUCAGCCGCCGCGGUAAUACCCGCUCCCCGAGUGGUGGAGGCUAUUACUGGGCCUAAAGCGCCCGUAGCCGGCCCGGUGUGUCCCUCGUUAAAUCCACGGGCUUAACCCGUGGGCUGCGGGGGAUACUACCGGGCUUGGGGGUGGGAGAGGCGCCCGGUAUUCCCGGGGUAGGGGUAAAAUCCUCUGAUCCCGGGAGGACCAUCAGUGGCGAAGGCGGGGCGCCAGAACACGCCCGACGGUGAGGGGCGAAAGCUGGGGGAGCAAACGGGAUUAGAUACCCCGGUAGUCCCAGCUGUAAACGAUG